GGUUUCGUAGUUCAACGGAUAGAAUAGAAGUUUCCUAAACUUUUGAUGCAGGUUCGAUUCCUGCCGAGACCACUA
rnacentral:tRNA from 1 species